AUGACAAGUUGUCUGGUUGUUGAUUUUAUUUUUGAUGUGUGACAGCUGUAUAGAGUAGGCUAUGCAAUUUUGCUUAGUCGGUACAAAAUCUCUUAAUUCAUGAAUACGACCACGAUGUUCUUGACAAGGGCUCUUGAGAAAAUUCUGGGUGACAAAGAAAUUAAGAAAACCCACCAUUCUCAGUUGAAAAGAGCCUGUGAGGUGGCACUUGAGGAACUAAAAAAUGACACCAGUAUUCAAAGCUUGGACCAAAACGCGUCAUCAGCCCUGCCAGUGCCAAAAAACUCUGGUUUUAUACAUGCUGACAAGUACUUCUUACCAUUUGAGUUGGCAUGUCAGUCUAAGUGUCCCAGAAUUGUCAAUACUGCCCUCGAUUGUCUCCAGAAACUCAUUGCAUAUGGCCAUCUGAUAGGAAAUGUGCCUGAUUCCACAACACCCGGAAAACGACUGAUAGAUCGGAUAGUGGAAACCAUUUGUGGUUGUUUUGUUGGGCCGCAGACAGAUGAGGGGGUGCAGCUUCAAAUAAUAAAGGCACUCCUGACUGUUGUUACGACAGCCUCUUGUGACAUUCAUGAGGGCACGGUUCUACAGACAGUACGAACAUGCUACAACAUCUACCUUGCCAGCAGAAAUCUUGUCAACCAGACAACGGCAAAGGCCACACUUACACAGAUGUUGAAUGUUAUUUUCUCACGUAUGGAACAACAAGCGGAACAAGAUGCUAAGUUGAAAGAACAGCAAGAGUUGAAAGAAAAAGAACUUGAGAAACAACAUGCUGAAACUGGAGCAGGGGAUGGAGGUGGUCGUGGUGGUGAUGAAGCCAGUCCAAAAGAGGAGGCCAAAGAUGAGGUGGAUGAUGGGGCGUCAGAAAGCACUCUCACCUCAGGUGGUCAAGAAACACACUCACAAGAAAAUGGAGAGACGGAUAGCACACAGAACGAGGACAAGAGUGAGGAAAUGCCACAAGACAUCGUUAGCCGUGUUCUGGAAGAGAUUAUUGAUAACGUGACAGGUUGCCCGAUUGCCUCACCUCCCGAAGCUGAGUCCGCUCCACCUACCAUAGAAAACUCCGUUAACCAUGGGGAGAGCACUCCUGCACCCCAACCCACAUUGACCUUAGAUUUGACCAAAGGUGGAGGUCUUGCACGCUUGACAACUGAGGACAGCUCUGAGAUGGAGAGCCAGGAACAGAUGCACGGCGCGUUCAGUCACAUUCUGCAGAAAGACGCCUUCCUGGUGUUCCGCAGCCUCUGCAAACUGUCCAUGAAACCUCUAGGGGAUGGACCUCCUGAUCCCAAGUCCCACGAACUGAGGUCGAAGAUCCUCUCACUCCAGUUGCUGUUAUCAAUUCUACGUAAUGCAGGACCAGUAUUCCGCACAAAUGAGAUGUUUAUCAACGCCAUCAAACAGUACUUGUGUGUGGCCCUGUCCAAAAAUGGAGUCAGUGCAGUACCAGAAGUUUUUCACCUGUCACUGACCAUUUUUGUCACUCUUCUCACCAACUUCAAACAGCAUCUCAAGAUGCAGAUAGAGGUUUUUUUCAAGGAGAUUUUCUUGUACAUCUUGGAAGCUCCAAGCAGUUCAUUUGACCAUAAAUGGAUGGUUAUUCUAGCACUCACCAUUAUUUGUGCUGAUGCUCAGUGUGUUGUUGACAUUUAUCUCAACUACGAUUGUGACCUGGCUCUAGCCAAUAUAUUUGAGCGUCUGGUCAGUGAUCUGUCCAAAAUUGCACAGGGAAGACACGCAAUGGAACUGGGUGCGUCUCCCAGCCAGGAGAAGAACAUGAGGCUGAAGGGGCUAACGUGUCUCGGGUCUAUUCUCAAAUGUAUGGUGGAGUGGAGCAAGGAUCUCUAUAUUAAUCCUAACUCACAGUCGAACCUGGGAGUAGACCUCAAACCGUACACAGAAACGGACAGUGACUCUGGCAAGGGGACGAUGACCAGUUAUGGAAGUGUCAAUUCCCUCGGCUCUAACAGUUCCCAGGUGAUCAGCAUCCAGCCCACCGACAAUCCCGAGCAGUUUGAAGUGAUCAAACAACAGAAGGAAAUCAUGGAAAAUGGAAUCGAGUUAUUUAACAAAAAGCCAAUGAAAGGAAUUCUGUAUCUCCAGGAGCAAGGAAUGCUGGGAAAAAGUCCCGAUGACAUUGCUGAACUUUUUCACACAGAUGAUCGUUUGGAUAAAGUUGCUAUUGGUGAUUUCCUUGGAGAAAAUGAAAAGUUUAACAAAGCGGUCAUGUAUUCGUAUGUGGAUCAGAUGAACUUUGUUGAGAUGGAUAUUGUGUCAGCCCUCAGAAAGUUCCUGGAGGGGUUUAGAUUACCAGGAGAAGCUCAGAAGAUUGACAGACUGAUGGAGAAAUUUGCAUCUCACUACUGUGUGUGUAAUGCAAAUGCUGGACUGUUUGCAAGUGCCGAUGCCGCAUACGUGUUGGCGUACUCUAUCAUCAUGUUGACCACGGAUCUCCACAGCUCACAGGUGAAAAGGGAAUACAAAAUGACAAAAGAGCAGUAUAUACGGAUGAAUCGUGGGAUCAAUGACAGCAAGGACCUGCCCGAAGAUUACCUGUCCAAGAUUUAUGACCAAAUUGCAGACAGUGAAAUAAAAAUGAGAGCCACCGGUGGAAUAAAACCCAGCAAAUCUGUCCGGGACAUAACGAGUAACAAACAGCGGCGAUUGCUGUACAACAUGGAGAGGGAACAGAUGGCCGUGACAGCUAAAGCGUUGAUGGAGAGCGUCAGCCACGUCCAGUCAAACUUCACAUGUGCGACACACCUCGAACAUGUUCGACCCAUGUUCAAGAUGGCAUGGACCCCAUUCCUGGCAGCAUUUAGUGUUGGUCUGCAAGAUUGUGACGAUCAAGAUGUGGCUACUCUGUGUUUAGAUGGCAUCCGGUGUGCUAUUCGAAUUGCCUGCAUAUUUCACAUGGAGCUGGAGAGAGAUGCAUACGUUCAAGCUUUGGCACGGUUUACACUGUUGACAUGUGCCACGCCCAUAACAGAAAUGAAAACUAAAAACAUUGACACCAUCAAAACACUCAUCUCAGUUGCUCAAACUGACGGAAACUACCUUGGCAAGUCGUGGUUGGAGAUCUUGAGGUGUAUAUCCCAGUUGGAGUUGGCUCAGUUGAUUGGAACCGGGGUGAAAACGAAGUAUAUCUCUGGACACGCCUCUCAGUCAGCAGCAGGCCAUCCCAUUGAAGCUUUUGAUCCUGAAGUAAUUGCUCGUGGGAACUUAGACCGGCAGCGGUUAGCCAACUUUCAUGAGACUGUUGGAGAAACCAGUUCACAGAGUGUGGUUGUUGCAGUGGACAGGAUAUUUACAGGCUCCGUCAAACUGGAUGGAGAUGCUAUAGUUGAGUUUGUGAAGGCUCUGUGCCAGGUGUCGCUGGAUGAGCUGGCCACGCGGUCCCACCCGAGAAUGUUCUGUCUACAGAAGAUAGUGGAGAUCUCCUACUACAACAUGGGGCGUAUCCGUCUGCAGUGGUCCAGAAUCUGGCAGUUCGUCGGAGACCACUUCAACAAGGUUGGAUGCAAUCCUAUGGAAGACAUUGCCUUUUUUGCCGUUGAUUCUCUGAGGCAACUAUCAAUGAAGUUUAUUGAAAAGGGAGAGUUCAUUUAUUUCCGCUUUCAAAAAGACUUUCUUCGGCCUUUUGAACAUAUCAUGAAGAGAAAUAGGUCUCCAACAAUACGAGACAUGGUUGUGAGAUGUGUUGCUCAGAUGGUUAACUCUCAGGCAGGCAAUAUCAAAUCUGGUUGGAAAAACAUCUUCAGCGUUUUUCAUCUGGCAGCUUCUGACCAUGAUGAGGGAAUUGUUGAACUUGCCUUUCAGACAACAGGAAAAAUUAUCUCAAGUAUUUUUGAGAAACAUUUUGUUGCCGUCAUCGAUUCAUUCCAAGAUGCAGUGAAGUGUCUGUCAGAGUUUGCUUGCAAUGCUGCAUUCCCCGACACCAGCAUGGAGGCAAUCCGACUCAUUAGGAACUGUGCAAAGUAUGCGGCUGAGAAACCCCAGACAUUUUGUGAUCAUGCUGGUGAGGAAAUAAAUGUGCCCGAGGAAGACAGAGUGUGGGUUCGAGGCUGGUUUCCGGUUCUCUUUGAGCUCUCGUGUGUGAUAAAUAGAUGUAAACUAGAUGUUAGAACCAGAGGCUUAACUGUGAUGUUUGAAAUCAUGAAGACAUAUGGUGAAUCAUUCCAGCCACAUUGGUGGCGAGAUCUGUUUAAUAUUAUUUUCCGUAUCUUUGACAAUAUGAAAUUGCCUGAACAGUUGAAUGAGAAGAAUGAAUGGAUGACGACCACCUGCAACCACGCCUUGUACGCGAUCAUUGACGUGUUCACGCAGUACUACGACGUGCUUCACGAGAUCCUUCUGUCGGACCUCUACCAGAUGCUGCACUGGUGUGUACAGCAAGAUAAUGAGCAGUUGGCUAGAUCAGGCACAAACUGCUUGGAAAACCUUGUCAUAUCUAACGGCAUCAAGUUUUCAUCGGAUGUUUGGCAGAAUACAUGCUGCUGUAUGCUGGACAUUUUCAAAAGUACCAUUCCACAUACAUUAUUAACAUGGUGUCCUGACAAUGGGGACAAUUUAGAGAAUGCAGCAAUUCAAACAGAAGAACUAAAAGACUCAAAUCAGAAUGCUCCAGUCCUCAAAGACAGUAACUUCGACAACCGAGUACUGGUACGUUCUGACAGCAAUGCCAGCACUCUUUCACAAGACUCCAGAGAUCACAAGAUUCCCAGAUCAAAAAUUCCGUCUGACCAGAAGUUGUUUCAGGCCUUGUUAAUCAAGUGUGUUGUUCAGCUGGAACUCAUUCAGACGAUUGACAACAUUGUGUUCUUCCCUUCCACUAGCAAGAAGGAAGAUGCUGAAAAUUUAGCAGCAGCACAGGCGAGUACGGAUGACGUGCAGGUGUUCGACCCAACCCAGCGUGAAGACCAGGGCAUGUACCAGUUCCUCAACUCCACACAGCUGCUGCUCCUCGUCGACUGCCUCUUCGAGUCACACAAGUUUGCCAAGGCUUUCAACUCUAACCACGAGCAGAGGAAUAUUCUGUGGAAAGCAGGUUUCAAGGGUAAAGCAAAGCCAAAUCUUCUGAAACAAGAAACCCAGAGUUUAGCAUGUUUGUUCCGAAUUCUGUUCCGUAUGUACAAUGAUGAAACACGAACUGAAGACUGGCCAGCAAUAGAGAAACGCUUGAUAGAUGUUUGUCGUGAGACUUUGGAGUAUUUCCUGUCCCUGCAGUCGGACAGUCACCGAGAGGCUUGGAGCAGUCUCAUGUUGCUGCUGCUUACCAGACUCUUGAAGAUGUCUGACGAACGGUUUCGUGUGCAUUCAGCCAUGUAUUAUCCAUAUAUUUGUGAAAUGCUAAUGUUCGACAUGAAACUUGAAAUGCGCUCUAUUAUGAAAAAAUUCCUUCUGCGUAUUGGGCUUACAUUCAACAUAGUUCCGACGUAAAUCAAGAGAUAAAGACUUGCAAGAGCUUGCCAAUGUGAAAAAAAGCUAAAUCUUGUGGAGUUGCUAUCAAGAGUCAAAAUGAUGUUGUAACCUUGAGUAGCUGCUUGUGCACACUGUAAAAUCACCAAGGUCAUUAUGAAGGAUAUGGUUUCUCGCAUGUUCUAUUUGCCAUGUGCAUAAUGAUGUAUUUUAUGCACAGGUUUUGAUGGAUCAAGACAUUACUGCAUAUUAUUUUGUUUUCCAUGAUAAUUUUAGGAUGUUUGUAACACAAGUUUAUUUAUGAAUUAAUUAAUAAUUAAUAUUAAACCAAGACUUAGUGUAAAAUGUGAAACGAUAGAAUCUUAAUUUGCAUUUUUAGUUUUGUAAAACCUUUUAAAAAUAUUUUUAGUUAUAUUUGAACAUCAUUGCAUUGAUGUUCUUAUUUUCAAUUCAUAUUAAGUUAGUAAAAAUAUAUAUUGCAAGUUAUAUAGCACAACUUACUAGUAUAUAUGUUUUAUAUUCAGAAUGGAAACUACUCAAGUAUACCGAAGUGGUCGAGGCCAAAGAAAUUAAAAUAUUUGAUUUGAUGUGCAAUACCUACAUACAUUGCUUCAAAGCUUUUUUUUCAAUUAAUUAAUUGUUAUAUUUUCUUACUGAUUCAAUAAAAUAUAUUUAUCUUGAUUUGAAAAAGCAAGAGAAAUUUACAUCCUAAGUGUGAGUAACUGUUCAAUUCCUUUUUGUUUAACAUAUCUUGGCUUGAAAUUGUUUAAGUUGGUGAAAAGAAGGCCACAUGUCUUGAAGAGGAAGAGAGAAAGUUCAAUGUUAGUGGACUAGAGGCUUGAAGGGCUGUAUAGAGUGCGUUACAAUUGCAUACAGAUGCCAUAAAGGAAAAUAUAACAUAUUUUUUGGAAUGGAUCAUUUAAAAUUACACUGUUUAUUAAGUUUAUAAUGUUGACAUUGUUAUAUGAAUCGUUGCGUGUUUCAUCUUGUGCAUACCCAUAUUGUUUUGUGCAAAAUACAACUAGUGUCAUGUGCCAGGGUUUUAAGUCAAGUACAGUGUAAGUAGCACUGUGGUGUGAUCAAGUUUAUAUCAUACUUAUACCCGGGAACUGAAUAAAUGGAAAAAGAAAUCCUCUAUUCAUGGAAUGUGUUAUCAUAAUAAAUGUGUAAAUUCUGGUACAGAAGGAUCAUACAGUGAAGAAUCAUUACCGUACUUAUUACAUUGUCAGAUAGGCCUUGAAAAAACCCCAAUCCUGAGGAAGUCCUGCUAAGCAAUUUGGUAAGCUUUUACAGCAAUGUUACUGAAUAUUGCUAUAAAUCAGGGCUCGAACUGAAGAAUUGGUCUCCCACAGCAAGUUUAAAAAGAAUUGAUUUGGGUGAAAAGGCCCACCGACGGCAAUUUUAAGCCUGCCUAUGCCAGUAUGGCAAUCUUUUUUAAAGUGACUUUUACAGCAAAUAAACUUGACUGAAAGGUUAUUUUGCUGUAUGUAGACGUAUUUCAAAUGUACAAAUAUUAAAUACUGGCAAAUGCUGUGGAGCUUUACUGACGGCAUAAAAGUGUCAUCGGUGAUGCUCCCUGCCUACAGCAAUUUAUAUCUCAACAAUGGCAUUUGCCAUCAGUGCUGUCAUCAAGUUCGAGCCCUGAUAAAUUAGAGGGACUGAUUGUAUUAUUUUAUACAUAAUCCAGGUAUCCAUUGUUAAUCAUCUAUUUGCAACGUUUAUUUGUGUGCAGUCGUGUUGGUUAAAUUUUUAUUGAUUAUAUAUAUAUAUAUAUAUAUAUCUGGUAGGAAUAUACUCCUUCUCAGAUGUUAAUAACAGUGGGACCCAUGGGGUAGGGUAGUACAUUUACUCAUACUCAACAUUAUUUUUUCUUUUGAGUACAGUGGAUUCAAGGACAUUGACUAGUUACAUUUCACCAUUUCCAUUCAUCACUUUUCAUUCAAAUAUAGUUGCAUAUAUUUCCACUGAAAAUUAUCUCUGUGAAGCUAGUUUGUUAAGUGUUAAUAGGAAUUGUGGGGUUAUGGCAAUAUUUCUGUCAUCAAGUGGUUCCUUAAUUAACUAAAUGUAUUGCCACUAAAUAUAAUACAUUUAUUUUUGGUUGUGAUUGGUGCACAUUAAAUUUGUGGUAUAUAAGUUUGUGUAAUUUUUUUUUGUACCAACAAAACACAUUCAUGUUCUGUUAUUUUAUUGUUAAAUGAAAGUCAGUACAUAAUUAUAUUUCUUUUCCAUGGUUGCUUUGUCGCUUAAUUCUGUAAAAUCAUCAGAUAGAAACAGCAACGAAUUUGUUGCCACGUUAGGAAGAGCUAAUCAUCUCAUUCCAAAUAUUGAUAAACACAGUACACAUUUUUAAUUCUGUUACAAAUGUAAAGAUGAUUAGUUGAUGGACAAGUGUUUUUCAUGUGAUAACAGAACUCUAGCUAAAAGUGACUAAUUAGACAAUUGGUCCAUAGAUGCCCAAACACAACUUGAACAUGCUACACAACUGAUUUGUAUGGAGGAGACCGGCUACACUCGUUGAAGUUUUUUUAGAUAAAAUUUGUACUAAAUAAACAUGACAGGACCGGAUGUAUAGUUUGGUAUUUAGAGUAUAGGGGUUUUCAGGGGUUAAUUUUAGUGAUUAAAACUGGGGGAAAAACCCGAAACAAUAAAACAAAUUCGGUUUUGAAGGAAUACCGGAUUACCGAGGGUUUGGUUUUGAAAGGUUUCACUCUCAUAUGGAUUUAUUCUUAAUGAUUAAACAAUGUAAAUAUCUCACCGCUGCACUUUUAAGCAUAUCUGUAUCAUUGGGUUUUUUAAUUUGGAUUGUAAAAUUCUAUUUUUGUUUAAAUGUCAAGGUCACAGAUUAAAGAAUUUGAUAUACAUGGAUCUGUACUGUAUUAUUUGUCUUUAUCAGCUAUUAUAAUUUUGUUUCUUUUUCUGUGGGAUGGAUUUAGAAUUAACGAUGAAAGGUAUUACAGUUUACAUGGAAUUAAACCUUGUUAGCUAUCAUUAUCCUUCUUUUACUCAUAGGUGUUGAAACAUUUUUUACUUUGGAUUUAUAGGUGUGGGUUUUUAAUGUUUGAACCAUGAUCUGCAGAGUAUUAUGGUUUUAAAUCUACUAAUUACAUUUACACUAAAUCUGAUUAAAUUUUAAAACAGUCAUACAACCCACUAUACUUGUUUUCCAGUAAGAUCUGAAAAAAAAACCUAGUAAGCAUAAUGGAUUGGAAGAUAAUAUUAUUAUUUCUGUUAGAUUGCAAAAAAGAAAUCUGAAAACUUUAGUAAUUAAAAUAUGUCUGCAUUGUUAAAAUACAUUUUGUGUCAGUAGGAAUCAUUGCAAAAACUCAACUUACACUACUAGACAACCAAAUAUAUUGUUCCUUUUUACUUCGAUAUUUUAUAUCGCUGCAGAAACUGCAAGUUAACCUACCAUUGCUUGAUUUGUAUUUUCUACAUGAAAUCCAAUGUGCAUGUUUCCCUUGUUGUACUGAAUGCAAGAAGGUAAAAAAAAAAGUGAAAAUUACUCUCCAGUAAAAAAGGUGAAAAUUACUCUCCAGUAAAAAAGGUGGAAAUUACUCUCCAGUAAAAAAGGUGGAAAUUCCUUUUAUUAGUGGUUUUUGGGUGUCAGGAUAAUUAUGACUCGCUCACACUCUCACACACACACUCUCUUUCUCUUUGUGUGUGUGUGUGUGUGUGUGAGAGAGAGAGAGAGAGAGAGAGACACACACACACACACACACACUGACUGACUGACUGACUAAUUAUGCUUCAACAUAAGUUGUCAGAAAGGACUAAGCAAAGAGGAGUAUGGAUCCCAUAACCUGUUGCAUUUCGGGUGGACACUACCACAAAACAAAAUCUCUUUCAUAAGAUAUAACAAGAAUAACAAGAGAAUAGUCAAACCCAUUUGUAAAGGCUGCCUUGGUAUAUGUGUGUGUGUGUGUGCAUGCCAUUGUGAAAUUUAUAUAAAGUUUAACACACGUGUACAUGAACGAACCCAUUUAUAUUCACGUGUUCCUCAUAGCAGGUUUGAUUCUUUUGUUCAUAUGUAACAAAUUUCCUCGUUUUUUUUUAAAUCUCUUAUUGUUAUCUACCUUCCAGAAACCGUUCUUUAAUUGCUUUUGACACUUGCAUUUUAUUGUAGUUUGUUUUUAUUUAUAUAUUAGUUAUAUAUCAUAAGAUAUUAUUGUUUUUCGUUAAAACUAUUAGCUUUCACAUCAUAAUAUAGCCAACACUUGUACUCUGUACAGAUAUUUAAUAUAUAUGUGCAUGUAUUUAUUUGUUUUUUUAUGUUAAUUUUUUGUACUGAACUGAAAAGGUGUAGAUCACUGAAUGUUUGUAUAUAUGGCAAUUUACAUUCUUGUUUUGUUUGCUUAUGCUUCAGUGAUUCUUGUUUGUUCAUGUAAAUAAGAGCAUGUUAAAAUCAGUUACAUUUUGCUAGGGAAGAUUGUUACGCAUGUAAUGUUGAGUUAAAACUGUCAUAGAAUUUGAUAAAAACCUGUACACUGUCAUGGAGUGUUGGAAGUAUUUUGAAAAGAAAUGGUACAAGAUUUUCUUUUAAAAUCUGUUUUUAUCAAAUGAAAAAAAGUUUAAAAUUGAUGACAGGACAUUUCUACAAUAGACAAGAUAUCUAAAGGUUGGAGACUAAAAUCAAUAUUGUGUGACUUGGCCUGAUAAACCCAUAAUGUUCAUGAUAGAAAUACUUAGUGCCAGAUAUUAUAUGAUUAUUCAACAUAUGUUAAGGCCACAUAUGCAACCAAUUGUUUAAUCAGACUUCAUCUUUUAACAUCAUCAAAGAAAACCAAGAGUACAGAUAAAAACAAGGCUAACCUUAGAACAAAUUAGUCACUGUAACCCAACUAAGACAAUUUUUAAAUUUAAUUUCGUCAAUAUAUCGUUUUUAAAGAUAAAAAUAAAAAUUUCAAACAGAAUAAAGAAAAGCAACAAAAUACCUGUCAGCAGACUAACCAACUACUAAAAACAAAAAUUAUGGGUCAGCUAAAAGCAAAGUAUUUUUGUAAACUUUAUUCUUAGUCAAGUUAGCGUGUUUCCUCUGAUGACUGAGUCAGAAUUGCCAAAUGUUUGACAUCCAAUAACCGAUGAUUAAUUAAUUAAUGUGCUCCAGUGGUGUCAUUAAACAGAAUAAAUUUUAACUUUCUUAUUCAAGCUCAUUGAUGGUACAUCCUGGUUCACCAUGCAGAUAAAAUAUAUACAGAGCAGCCUUUUAUACCAGGCUUAAAUAAUAACAAGUGUACCGGUAACCAAAUGUGAAGUUAAUCAUAUUUUUCAAUAUGCUGUUGUAUAUUUUCUGUAUAUGUUGUUGUGGUGUAAAUAAUUAUUCUGUGAUAUAGCCUCACAUUUUUGAUGGGUAUUAAACUUAUGGGUUCAGUAGAAAAAAACAGUUUAUAUUUAUUGACUGAUAAAAUGUACAGUACAAAACAUCCAAUUGUAUAUUCAUAAGACUGCACAAGUAUGUCUGUCAAUAAUUUUAUUAUCUUCAGACAUCUGUUUGAGAAAUAAAACUAUUCAUUUAAUUUUGA
rnacentral:misc_RNA from 1 species